UGUGCUAGACGGGGAGCUAGCGGUGCCCUGUGAACUGCAAUCCGCUACAGCAGUGUCGAACACCAUCCGAGGUCUUGUUUAUGGUUGGCUGCGCAGUGCAAGGAGUGUCGAUAUCAAGGUCCCGUGCAAUGUCAUACUGUGAACCGUGUCAGAGCUUGACCGCAGCAGCACUAAGCAGGCGUUGGCGUGUGCCACGGGGAAACUUUGAAGGAGCCACCUACAUUGUUUCCGCUUCGGUCUUCAUUAUCGAAGAUGGCGCA
rnacentral:SRP_RNA from 2 species